CCGUAGGCUGCAACUUGUAAACUUAUUUUCACACACGAAUCCGCACACACUCAUGCACACUUACACGCUCUUAUAGAUGAAUGUAUCUUUUAUCCCAUUUGAUUCUUAGCCCGAAAUGUGAGAGCCCUGUGUUUGGGGGCGGUGGAAAUCCGAUGGAAAAUAGAAUAUUCAGCAAUGGCUCCACCGCUUCCACUGCUCCCGAUGAUGAUGAAUGGCUUGCGUGUGUUAGUUUCACGUGAACAUGUGAAAAAAUUCACAUCAAUUUGUAAGCAACCCACACGGACGACUUGCGCCCGCGCUUCAGAUUUUCACUACUCUGACCCAGCUUUUUUGUUUAACCAAAUCGUUGACUUUAAGAAACCGAAACCAGUCGGAGCGGAAGGCAAGCCAGAAUCAGACAGGUCACGUAUUAUUAUGGCCACAAAGCUUUGUCGUCCUGCCAGAAUUUGAUUCGUUUACCAACUUAUAGGCAGUGUUGGUAAAGGUACUCUGCCCGGCCACCAAGGUACUCAGUAAAGUACCCAAAAAUAGUGAUAUGUGUAAAAAAUCCCUCGAUAAAACAAUACAAGUUUAGAGGACUUGAAAAAGUACCUUGAUAUUGCCUCCUGGACACAGUGCUCCACUGCUUAUAGGCGUGAGUGCAUUUGACCCGGUUGCCCAGCCCAUUUGACUCCUGGCCCAAGUCCUUGUUUGGGUGUUGACAACGUCCGUCAGGUCGGGUGAUGAUGGUGUAUGCCGAUAACUUUUUCCGCACCAUGCCCUGUAAUCUGUCCUGGCUCGGCACUGCCUGCUCCUGGACGCGCCUGGGAUUACAAUCGCUGCUCCUGGAGGUCGAUGGGGCACGACGGCUGCUUGUGUGUGUGCAACCACAACAUGCUCAAAGCAACUUGAAUCGCUGCCCCCGGUCUCGAUUGUCAUGGGGGGGAUCUGAAGGACCACACACCGGCACCACUGCUAUUUGGAAUCUCAAUUGUCAGAGCUUGUGGUCGGUUCGAGUACUGGUAUCUGAUUGGAAGCAUCUUGAGGCACUGAUGAAGGGCUUGAAGGAAUGGAAACUGUUGACCUGGCCGACAAUUAAAGCUCUUCGAUUAUUAUCAGGACUUUAAGUUUGGAUGGAAUAUUUAUUUAGAGAUUUAGUUGUAUCAAACAAUCGAAUAUAAUUGAUUUCUCAAUUAAACUUGAAAGAAAACAUGAUUUUUAAACAUCAAUUGCCAAAAAAUUGUGCUUAAAAUUUAAAAUACUUGGAUAUGUUCAACUUGAAUGUAACAUAUUAGCCUUAAGCAUGUGCAAUGAA